GCGUGAGCGAUGAAGGCCUUAGGGUUGUAAAGCUCUUUCACCAGGGAAGAUAAUGACGGUACCUGGAGAAGAAGCCCCGGCUAACUCCGUGCCAGCAGCCGCGGUAAUACGGAGGGGGCUAGCGUUGUUCGGAAUUACUGGGCGUAAAGCGCACGUAGGCGGAUAGUUAAGUCGGGGGUGAAAUCCCGGGGCUCAACCCCGGAACUGCCUUCGAUACUGGCUAUCUAGAGUUCGAGAGAGGUGAGUGGAAUUCCGAGUGUAGAGGUGAAAUUCGU
rnacentral:rRNA from 1 species